rnacentral:rRNA from 1 species
UACGGAGGGUGCGAGCGUUAAUCGGAAUUACUGGGCGUAAAGCGUGCGUAGGCGGUUUUUCAAGUCGGAUGUGAAAGCCCUGGGCUCAACCUGGGAAUGGCAUUCGAGACUGGGAGGCUGGAGUGCGGUAGAGGGCAGUGGAACUCCGGGUGUAGCGGUGAAAUGCGUAGAUAUCCGGAAGAACACCGAUGGCGAAGGCAGCUGCCUGGGCCGUAACUGACGCUGAAGCACGAAAGCGUGGGGAGCAAACAGG